ACCAGCAGGAAUGGAAUAAGUCUCAAGUAACCAAAUGAGAGCAUGAAGUUGGUUGAUCAGACCGUGCUCCUGAGCAAAGCGUUGUAUUUUGAAAGUCCCAUUCACAAGAGGCUGUAAGGCUGCAUCUGUUGCUGUUGAAAGAUGAAAUUGCUUAUCAAUCACCAUCCCCAGAUAUUUGAAAUGGUCAGUGUAAGGUAAGGGUGACCCAUCAUAGAAAAAAA
rnacentral:lncRNA from 1 species